rnacentral:tRNA from 1 species
GCCCGGGUGGUGGAAUGGCAGACACGAAGGAUUCAAAAUCCUUUGCCCUAACGGGCGUGCGGGUUCAAGUCCCGCUCCGGGCA